rnacentral:rRNA from 1 species
GACGAACCGUGCAAACGUUGUUCGGAAUCACUGGGCGUAAAGCGCACGUAGGCGGAUUCUUAAGUCAGGGGUGAAAUCCUGGAGCUCAACUCCAGAACUGCCUUUGAUACUGGGAGUCUCGAGUCCGGAAGAGGUGAGUGGAAUUCCCGGUGUAGCGGUGAAAUGCGUAGAUAUCGGGAGGAACAUCUGUGGCGAAGGCGACACCCUGGACCAGCACUGACACUGAGGCACGAAAGCGUGGGGAGCAAACAGG